AGAGAUAGGGCUUUCCCUUCGGGGACAGAGUGACAGGUGGUGCAUGGUUGUCGUCAGCUCGUGUCGUGAGAUGUUGGGUUAAGUCCCGCAACGAGCGCAACCCUUGAUCUUAGUUGCCAGCAUUUAGUUGGGCACUCUAAGGUGACUGCCGGUGACAAACCGGAGGAAGGUGGGGAUGACGUCAAAUCAUCAUGCCCCUUAUGACCUGGGCUACACACGUGCUACAAUGGACAGAACAAAGGGCUGCGAGACCGCAAGGUUUAGCCAAUCCCAUAAAUCUGUUCUCAGUUCGGAUCGCAGUCUGCAACUCGACUGCGUGAAGCUGGAAUCGCUAGUAAUCGCGGAUCAGCAUGCCGCGGUGAAUACGUUCCCGGGCCUUGUACACACCGCCCGUCACACCACGAGAGUUUGUAACACCCGAAGUCGGUGAGGUAACCUUUAUGGAGCCAGCCGCCGAAGGUGGGACAGAUGAUUGGGGUGAAGUCGUAACAAGGUAGCCGUAUCGGAAGGUGCGGCU
rnacentral:rRNA from 1 species